CCAUACUUCCAUUCUGUUGCUCGACAUUUUAACUUUAUUCUAGGGGCCUGAUUGUCUGAAUAUAGUUAUAUUAACUUGCUUGGAUAGUUUAAAUUUUUUCUCUUCACUGUAAUGCUCUUUAUAUGGACCUCCUUGCUGCUGCGAAGGUUCCAAUUUAAUGGGCGUUGGAAGUUGGAAUGGAUUAUUGGUCGUUAAAUGGUUCAUUUUCAUUUUCUUGACCAACUAUGAUUUAUGUUUAUUAGAAUUGUUUUAGUUGAUUUUUCUUUGGAGGAAAUCAUAUGUUCUUUCUGUUAUGAUUACAUGAUUCAAGAAGUCAAGAACUUGUGUUGGCAACACAUAGAAAAGUUCUGUUGAAUAUCAAUAUCAUCUUAACUUAUAUGGAAUUUGCUUUCAAUCAAAAUAGCAAUAGUUCAAGAACAAGAAUUGCACCACGAGGCUUUAAACUAUGAAAUUGCCACAAGUGGUGUAAGCCACCAAUUGGAAGACAGUAUAAAGUUUGAACCAGUUGUGCCAAACAGCACUUUCAGUAUGUAAACUAUUUUAUUCCCACAUAAUGUGAUUUGGUAACAUAUAACUAGGAAGAGAAGAGAAACAUUUUUUUUAGCUAGGAUUUUGUUUGUUUCACACUUGCAAGAAAAAGAAGUAUAAGAAUAUUUAAGACAAGACUCUUGAAAUAUUCGUUUUUUAUGGAAGAGGCCAUAAGCUGACCCUCAUUUCAAUAAAGGAGAUAAACCAAUAGGUUUGACGUUUGUGUGAAGAAACUAGGCACAGGGAUUGGGGGUGAAGUGUUUGCAGUUUUCACAAAUAUGUUUUGGAUUCCUUCUGAGAUGAAGGUUCCCUUGAAUUUGAUGGCCGUAAGGCUCAAGUACGAACUUAGAUGAGGAAUUGGUUAGAAAAUGCGAAUGAUUAGAAUUGAAAUCAGUAAGAUGAAUGCCAUUCAGUGACAAGGUAUGGAAUUAUUAUAUCAGGUCUUGAUCAGUAUUCUGGUUUUUCUUUGUUAAAUUUGGAAUUAAAGAGACCUAAAAGCCUUUAUAAUCAAGAAUAUGGGCAGGGAUUUUGUUGGAAAAUGCAAGGUUGUGAUGGCUUAGGUGGUUAAUUGAAGACUGACAAUAUUGUUGGGUUGCAAUUACGCAUGAUGCAGUUCAUUCAAAUGAGGAAGAAACUAAUAAAGGUAAUCCAAUGCACAAAGCAUCUCACACUUGUGGGCUUUGGGG
rnacentral:misc_RNA from 1 species